UUAGUGGCGGACGGGUGAGUAACGCGUGGGUAACCUGCCUUACACUGGGGGAUAACACUUAGAAAUAGGUGCUAAUACCGCAUAAGCGCACGAAGCCGCAUGGAUUUGUGUGAAAAACUCCGGUGGUGUAAGAUGGACCCGCGUCUGAUUAGCUUGUUGGCGGGGUAACGGCCCACCAAGGCGACGAUCAGUAGCCGGCCUGAGAGGGUGAACGGCCACAUUGGGACUGAGACACGGCCCAAACUCCUACGGGAGGCAGCAG
rnacentral:rRNA from 1 species